AGAACGAACGCUGGCGGCAGGCUUAACACAUGCAAGUCGAACGCCCCGCAAGGGGAGUGGCAGACGGGUGAGUAACGCGUGGGAAUCUACCCAGUUCUACGGAAUAACACAGGGAAACUUGUGCUAAUACCGUAUACGCCCUACGGGGGAAAGAUUUAUCGGGAUUGGAUGAGCCCGCGUUGGAUCAGCUUGUUGGUGGGGUGAUGGCCUACCAAGGCGACGACGGGUAGCCGGCCUGAGAGGGCGACCGGCCACACUGGGACUGAGACACGGCCCAGACUCCUACGGGAGGCAGCAGUGGGGAAUAUUGCACAAUGGGCGGAAGCCUGAUGCAGCGACGCCGCGUGAGGGAUGACGGCCUUCGGGUUGUAAACCUCUUUCAGCAGGGACGAAGCGAGAGUGACGGUACCUGCAGAAGAAGCGCCGGCCAACUACGUGCCAGCAGCCGC
rnacentral:rRNA from 1 species